UAGGACGAACGCUGGCGGCGUGCCUAAUACAUGCAAGUCGAACGAACUCUGGUAUUGAUUGGUGCUUGCAUCAUGAUUUACAUUUGAGUGAGUGGCGAACUGGUGAGUAACACGUGGGAAACCUGCCCAGAAGCGGGGGAUAACACCUGGAAACAGAUGCUAAUACCGCAUAACAACUUGGACCGCAUGGUCCGAGUUUGAAAGAUGGCUUCGGCUAUCACUUUUGGAUGGUCCCGCGGCGUAUUAGCUAGAUGGUGGGGUAACGGCUCACCAUGGCAAUGAUACGUAGCCGACCUGAGAGGGUAAUCGGCCACAUUGGGACUGAGACACGGCCCAAACUCCUACGGGAGGCAGCAGUAGGGAAUCUUCCACAAUGGACGAAAGUCUGAUGGAGCAACGCCGCGUGAGUGAAGAAGGGUUUCGGCUCGUAAAACUCUGUUGUUAAAGAAGAACAUAUCUGAGAGUAACUGUUCAGGUAUUGACGGUAUUUAACCAGAAAGCCACGGCUAACUACGUGCCAGCAGCCGCGGUAAUACGUAGGUGGCAAGCGUUGUCCGGAUUUAUUGGGCGUAAAGCGAGCGCAGGCGGUUUUUUAAGUCUGAUGUGAAAGCCUUCGGCUCAACCGAAGAAGUGCAUCGGAAACUGGGAAACUUGAGUGCAGAAGAGGACAGUGGAACUCCAUGUGUAGCGGUGAAAUGCGUAGAUAUAUGGAAGAACACCAGUGGCGAAGGCGGCUGUCUGGUCUGUAACUGACGCUGAGGCUCGAAAGUAUGGGUAGCAAACAGGAUUAGAUACCCUGGUAGUCCAUACCGUAAACGAUGAAUGCUAAGUGUUGGAGGGUUUCCGCCCUUCAGUGCUGCAGCUAACGCAUUAAGCAUUCCGCCUGGGGAGUACGGCCGCAAGGCUGAAACUCAAAGGAAUUGACGGGGGCCCGCACAAGCGGUGGAGCAUGUGGUUUAAUUCGAAGCUACGCGAAGAACCUUACCAGGUCUUGACAUACUAUGCAAAUCUAAGAGAUUAGACGUUCCCUUCGGGGACAUGGAUACAGGUGGUGCAUGGUUGUCGUCAGCUCGUGUCGUGAGAUGUUGGGUUAAGUCCCGCAACGAGCGCAACCCUUAUUAUCAGUUGCCAGCAUUAAGUUGGGCACUCUGGUGAGACUGCCGGUGACAAACCGGAGGAAGGUGGGGAUGACGUCAAAUCAUCAUGCCCCUUAUGACCUGGGCUACACACGUGCUACAAUGGAUGGUACAACGAGUUGCGAACUCGCGAGAGUAAGCUAAUCUCUUAAAGCCAUUCUCAGUUCGGAUUGUAGGCUGCAACUCGCCUACAUGAAGUCGGAAUCGCUAGUAAUCGCGGAUCAGCAUGCCGCGGUGAAUACGUUCCCGGGCCUUGUACACACCGCCCGUCACACCAUGAGAGUUUGUAACACCCAAAGUCGGUGGGGUAACCUUUUAGGAACCAGCCGCCUAAGGUGGGACAGAUGAUUAGGGUGAAGUCG
rnacentral:rRNA from 2 species